rnacentral:rRNA from 1 species
CACGUAGGGCGCAAGCGUUGUCCGGAAUUAUUGGGCGUAAAGAGCUCGUAGGCGGUCUGUUACGUCUGCUGUGAAAACCCUGGGCUUAACCCUGGGCUUGCAGUGGAUACGGGCAGACUAGAGGCAGGUAGGGGAGAAUGGAAUUCCCGGUGUAGCGGUGAAAUGCGCAGAUAUCGGGAGGAACACCGGUGGCGAAGGCGGUUCUCUGGGCCGAUACUGACGCUGAGGAGCGAAAGCGUGGGGAGCGAACAGG